AGUUUGAUCCUGGCUCAGGAUGAACGCUGACAGAAUGCUUAACACAUGCAAGUCUACUUGAACUUCGGUUUGGGUGGCGGACGGGUGAGUAACGCGUAAAGAACUUGCCUCACAGUUAGGGACAACAUUUGGAAACGAAUGCUAAUACCUGAUAUUAUGAUUUUAGGGCAUCCUAAGAUUAUGAAAGCUAUAUGCGCUGUGAGAGAGCUUUGCGUCCCAUUAGCUAGUUGGAGAGGUAACGGCUCACCAAGGCGAUGAUGGGUAGCCGGCCUGAGAGGGUGAACGGCCACAAGGGGACUGAGACACGGCCCUUACUCCUACGGGAGGCAGCAGUGGGGAAUAUUGGACAAUGGACCAAAAGUCUGAUCCAGCAAUUCUGUGUGCACGAUGACGUUUUUCGGAAUGUAAAGUGCUUUCAGUUGGGAAGAAAAAAAUGACGGUACCAACAGAAGAAGUGACGGCUAAAUACGUGCCAGCAGCCGCGGUAAUACGUAUGUCACAAGCGUUAUCCGGAUUUAUUGGGCGUAAAGCGCGUCUAGGUGGUUAUGUAAGUCUGAUGUGAAAAUGCAGGGCUCAACUCUGUAUUGCGUUGGAAACUGCAUGACUAGAGUACUGGAGAGGUAAGCGGAACUACAAGUGUAGAGGUGAAAUUCGUAGAUAUUUGUAGGAAUGCCGAUGGGGAAGCCAGCUUACUGGACAGAUACUGACGCUAAAGCGCGAAAGCGUGGGUAGCAAACAGGAUUAGAUACCCUGGUAGUCCACGCCGUAAACG
rnacentral:rRNA from 1 species